rnacentral:piRNA from 1 species
UAGCAAGUUUCUCUACCCUACAGUCAUGGC